UUAUUGUUAUUAAUUGCAAAUUAGUAUGAAAGAAAUAUUGCCCAAUGGCAUUCGUACUGAAGGCACCUAAAAAUUGUUGCCCAUUGUGCGAAAUUAACCUGUAUAGCCUAUCAUGGCAUUCGAUGAGCUAAGAACAAAAAAGAAGUCUUGCCCAUCGCCUGUUGGCAUUGUACAUAAGUUUAAGGCAUCUGAAAAAACAGUGCAUUUUAAUUUCAGGUUACGAAUUGGGCGUGCCCCUCCGGAUAGAGGACCCUGUGCUGGUAGAGUCACUCAUUUAGAGGAAACAAUAAGGAGAUACGCUGAUAAACAGUCGGACAAUGUAAUAAAGCCAAAGAUUGGUAUGAGUUUUGAUUCCUUUGGAGAAGCGUACGAUUUCUAUAACUUGUAUUCUUGGGAGGUUGGAUUUGGUAUAAGAUAUGGCAAGAGUCGUUUGAACGUCGAGCGGACAAAGUGUUUGCAAGAGAUCGUCUGUGGAUGCUCGGGGAAACCAGAGCAACAGAAUAGCCGGUCUUGCCGCUGCGAGUGCCCUGCGAUGACACAGGAGGCAAGAGAAAGGAGUCCUUGACUCAGUCCGUGGAAUCUUCCGGGAAAGUGAACCCAGAGGCACCAGGAUGGACUAAGAGGUUGAGAGUUGGCCGUGCACCCGCUGAUAGACACCGUGCAUUGGCAGAGUUACUCCAUUGGAAGAAACAAUCAGGAGGUACGCUGAUAAGCCAUCGGACAAUGUGGUCAAGCCAGAAACUGGAAUGAGUUUUGACUCUCGGGGAACAUAUGAUUUCUACAAUCUUUAUUCAUGGGAGCUCGGAUUUGGUAUAAGAUAUGGCAAGAGCGGUCUGAAUGUCGAGCUGACGAAGGGUAUGCAAGAAAUUGUGUGUGGAUGCUUGGGGAAGCCUGAGCAGCAAAACAGCCGGUCUUGCCGGUGCAAAUGCCCUGCAAUGUUUUCGAGGAUGGGGCUUACUAGGUCGAGGAAAUUGAAAGGAAGAAGUACAUUGCAAGACACAACAAUGUCGACAACUGUGGGAAGUGGAGCAAGGUUGUUUAUGAGGUGACCAUGUUGGACGAUGGCGAGUGGUUCGAGUGUGAAUGCGGGCAUUUCACCCACAUGGGAAUGCUGUGCUGCCAUGCUUUCAAGGUGAUAGAUUAUGUUGGCGGGACGCAGAUAUCGAAGCGGCACAUCCUCAAGAGAUGGAGGGAAAAUGCUAGGGACAUCCUGGCCCAGCACCUUGCUCACUUCCAAAGAGAUCAAGCCGUGAACCAAUCUUUCAUCUGUCGGAGCUCGACCCUUUACCUAGAUGCCAUGCAUGGAGCUGGUUAGGUUUGGGGAUUAAUCCGUCGUGACGUAUGCGCUCGUGCUGGGUCAGAUAAAGGAUAUAAGUGUGGAGGCAUCACCGCUAGCUGAAAGCCCGAAACAAGAGAUGUGCUUGACUAUGAGGAGAGACAAGUUGUUGAGGCGAAUCGCAACCACAUUGCAUUGGCGGGCACAAAUGUCAACAUUGAGGGAGAGAUGAUUGACAACGAGAACAGUGUGACCCUUUCCGGUAACUGGGAUGCACUUGCUGACUGUCGGCUCCGAGCAACAAACCUGGUUCCCAUGCUCAAGUAGGGAGAAGGCAUCAUAUGAAUGACUGAGUAAAAGGACAAGGUUCUACAGCAUCUUCAAACUGCUAGGUCAUAAGAAGACUACCUGCCCUGAGGGAGGUGACAUGCUAAACGGCCCCGCAAACCUGAAAGCUGCAAGAAUUGUGGCAUCGCUGGACACCGUCGCACUACGUGCACCAUGCUGCUGGGUGCUGCUGCAUCUUAAGAGUUCCGACAGUCAUGUACGAUAACUCUGAAUUUCAAAUAUGAAGGAUUUUCUAGUGUGUGAUUUCUGCAUGGACAUGACGUUUGUUCCUCCCUGAGUAUAAGCUAUGUAUGUCAAAUGAUGCUGAACUAUGUGGAGUGGUAAAAUUUGGUUUCGGCA